GCCUUCGUGGUGUAACGGUAGCACAUUCGGUUCGUAUUCGAGAGGUCUAGGUUCGAGUUCCGACGAGGACA
rnacentral:tRNA from 1 species